ACAAAGGAUUUCCGAAACCACUACAAGAUAAAUUGUGUUCUAGGGCACCUUUGGCUGGCUCAGUCGGAAAAGCAUGCUAUGCUUGAACUUGGGGUCGUGAGUUCAAGCCCCACACUGGGUGUAGACAUGACUAAAAACAAUCAAUAAACUUAAAAAAAAAAAAAAAAAAGAUAAGUUAAGUUCUAGGGAAGUUUCAGAAACUCUGCUGUAGAACCACAUAAACAAGGGGAUUUAACAUUCCUCUUUAUGUUGUUUCAGUGCAAUUAUGUCCGUAUAGGAACUGGGGUUGGUUCAAAGGUUAAAGUGAGGUGAUUGUUCUGAUUUGGCAAUUAUUUAUGUCCUUCUGGACAUAACUAUGGGAUUGGAAUAUUUAUUUAUAAGGGAUUCAUCAGCAGUGAGCACCCCACCAGGGGCCAAAAAGAUAUGAAAGAAUAACAACCUCAGUUUCCUGAGCCAGCAGAUAGUAGUCUGUCCUCAUGUGCAGGCCAAGGAGGUUCUACCUCUGCAAACAUGCCGACCAGCUUGGACUCAGAUGGACCCUGAGUGAGCAAGCCUGACUCCGAGGAGGAAGGAACACUCGUAGAAGUGGUGGGAUCCUGAUACUAAUUUUGGAUAGUCCCUAGAAUCCCAUGUUCGUCUCACUGAGUGUCCUUUAAUAGACCCUGACUUGGUGCUCUUCUGUUCUUCCCCUGAAAACAUGCCUAUUGUAGGUUACAAUCCUGAUCUCUGGUGCUGAUACCUCUCCUUUACUCCAUUACAGUUGAUCUGCGUAGUAUCCGCAACCAAACCUGCUCCACCAGCCACCAGAUGACUCGAACAUCUGUUCAGGAUCUUCCUGAUGUGUUAUUCAUCCCAGAAGAUCCCAUCCAGGAUGCCCCGUUACAUUGAGCAUCAUGUCUCCUUAGGCUCUUUUUGGCUGUGACAGUUUUCUGACUUUUCUUGUUUUCCAUGACCUUGACAGUUUUGAGGAGUACUGGUGGAAAUGUGCAGGGUAUCCCUUCAUUGGAACUUGCCUGAUGUUCUUCUCAUGAGAAGACUGAGGCUAUAUUGGCUAUAUAUUGAGGCCAUAUUAUUGGGGAAAAUACCCACAAAGGUAAAAUGCUAUUUUCAUCACAUGAUGUCAAGCAUACGUACUAUGAAUCUGACUCAUCAGUGCCUAUGUUGACCCUGAUCACCUGGUUGAGGCUGUUGUCAGUCAGGUUUCUCCACUGGAAAAUUACCUGCUACCCCUUUCCUACCGUCCUGUCUGGAAGGAAGUCACUACGGGCAGCCCACCCUUGGGCAGGCAGUUAUGUUCCACGUCUUUGAGGCUGUGACAGUGUUCUCAUCUCCAUAUUCCGGAUGGAUGAGGAAACCAUAGCUCUGAGAGGUUGUGACUCGCCUCAGGUCACCAACUGUUAAGUGGCGAAGCCAGGACUGAUCCCGCUGCCCAGGCAGAGCCUGCACCACAACCACUGUACUCUACCGCCCCCUAGUGGGCCCUGGUCUAACGAUGUUUCCCCAACACAGCACUCAGGCACAAAAAAAAUCCUCAUUUGGGAAUGACACACUCAACAAAUAUAUAUUGAUGGCGUGUCGCAUGGGGGUCGAGAACUCUGCUGGGCAACUAGGAUGCCUGGGUGCCGCUGAUAGGAUUAUGAGGGAAGAGAUAACAAAACAAAACAAAACAAAACAAAACCCCACAGGGGCAGGCUUACCGAUUGGGAAUCAGCUUGGCUACACAGAACAAAAAACUCAACUCACAGUAGGGGAUUUCUGUAGUUGCCACGGAUCCAUGGCUUCUGACCCGCCACCCGGGACAUUUGAUCUUCCAGGGAGGAAGGAGAAAAGGGGCAUGCCUACCGCCUGCUCAGCUUUGAAGUAGUUUUCCCAAAACCAGGACCCGUUCUGGAGGCUGGAAGUCCUAGAUCCAGGGGUCAGCAGGAUUGGUUUCCUCAGGGACCUCUCCCUCCUUGCUUUGUGGAUGACUGUUUGCUUCCUGUAUCUUCACAUGGUCUUCGCGCGAUGUCAGCAACAUGGUGAAGUAGUCUUCUGCUGUCUUCUUUGGGAGGAACUCCGAUUUUGACAGCUGCCCACGGAUGAGAAUGCUUUGGGGAAGUCUAGGAGUUCAGCAGAGAAGCUCCAGCACAUCAUUGAAGAAAAAAAAUCAGGACUGGACACAUGAAAAUGUGGUGAAAAAGAAAGCAUCCUGUGCGGUUAUCCGGGAGGCCUCAUGAACUUGGCCCGACAUCGCAGCUGUCCAUGACCUCCGCAGCCAUUGCCCCAGAAACCAGCUGGCUUCCCGCAGCUGAGAACUGGCAGCCCCUGCCUCAGCUCCCCCCAGCGCUUCUCGUUUUCUGCUCUGAAUAUGUCUCCUUAGCACUCAGAGAGAAAUUACAAGUACACUGAGAGGCAGGCAGAGAGAGAGAGAAGGAAGCAGGCUCCCUGCUGAGCAGAGAGCCCGACGCGGGACUUGAUCCCAGGACCCUGAGAUCAUGACCUGAGCCGAAGGCAGCGGCUUAACCCACUGAGCCACCCAGGCGCCCCCCCUCAAAAUUCUUAUAUUGAAGUCCUAAUUCCUAUUACUUCAGAAUGUGACAGCAUAUAGGGAAAGGGUCUUUAUAGAAGUGAUCGACUUAGGGUGGGUGUUAAUCCAAUAUGACUAAUACCCUUAUAAAAAGAGGAAAUAGGACCCAGAGACAGAUAUGCACAGUGGGAGGAUGCUAUGAAAAGACACCAGGAGAAGACGGCCAUCUACAAGCCCAGGAAAGCCUGAAACUGAUUCUUCUUUCAUGGCCCUAAGCAGACACUAGCCUCUCCGACCCAUGAAUGGGACCAAAUUUGCAAACAGGACCUUUGCAGAUAGUCAAGUUAAAAAAAGACCAUGUUAAUUAGGCUCCCAAUCCAAUGACUGGUGUCCUUUUAGGAACAAGAGAUGACACAGACACAGGAGAACCCCUCGUGAAAUCAGAGGUGGAAACUGGAGCCAUGUGUUUGCGAACCAAAGACUGAUGAAGAUUGCUGGCAAGCCCAGAAGCAACAAGAAAGGUGUGGAGCAGUUGGUCUCCUAGACCCUUCCGAGGGAGCCUCCCCCUGCCCGGCUCCUUGGUGCAGACCUCUGGGCUCCAAAACUGUGAGAGAAUUCACUUCCAUCGUAUGAUGUCCCCCUGUCCCUGGGGGACUCUGGGUUGUAACCAGUGCCUUGGAGUGAGCACAUCCUAGACGGGGGUCUCGAGUUCCUGUCCAGCACCCUACCAGGCACAGGUUUCAGACCACCCCCAAGGGACUUCACAUGCAGGCACUUGGGAUCCAGGAACAACGAGAGAAUCCUCCAUAAAAGCAUGGCACGUGUUGCUUGUUGAGAUCAGAAGCACCCCCAGAAAGGGGAAGAAAAAAUGCAGUAAACAGGAAUUCCAGGGGAUCCAGGAAGAGCAACAACGUCAUCCAACCUGUUGAAUGAUCUGCCCAUGUUCUCUGGAGUCCAGAAGGGUGGCUGCUGACAUCCAGUCCUGCUAGUCACUUGGGUAACUUUGAUGCAUAUAUCGGCAUCUUGGAUCUUAGUUGACUUUACAUUUAUUUUUUCAUAAAAUGUUUGCUCUUCGGGGCUGAUAUUCAGAUGGUGUAGCUACAUUUUGGUUACUAAAAGAUGAAUGGUUCCGUAUUGGGGGAGAGCCACUCUCCUUACUACUUUGGUCCCCUCCCUGGAACCUCUUGGAUUUCCCUACAACCCAGCAAAAAAAUGCAGGGCGCAGCUGGCCAUCUCCCCAACAUUAUGGUUGGUGUUCUUUCUAAUUAGUUGACUGUUAAAGAUUUUGACUCUUAUCCCCAGAUCAAACACUUGCUGUGUAUCUAAUCCAGUGAACACAGCUGUGGGGGACAGAAAAGAAUUAGACCAUCUCUGCCUUCAAAAAGUUUAAACUUGGGGUGCUUGGCUGGCUCAGUUGGAGGAGCAUGCGACUGUUGAUCUUAGAGAGUAUUUAAAAAUAAAACCUUAAGGGGCACCUGGAAGGCUCAGUGGGUUAAAGCCUCUGCCUUCAGCUAGGGUCAUGAUCCCAGGGUCCUGGGAUCGAGCCCCACAUCAGGCUCUCUGCUCAGCGGGGAUCCUGCUUUCCCCAUUCUCUCUGCCUGCCUCUCUGCCUACUGGUGAUCCCUCUCUCUGUCAAAUAGAUAAAUAAAUAAAAUCUUUAAAAAAAUAAAUAAAAAUAAAAAUAAAACCUUAAAAAAGUUUACACCUAAUUGAAUUGGGGACAAACACAGUUUAAAUAAUUAGGAAUAAGUACAUGCCAAGCUCUGUGUUUUCGUCCAUGUGGGCUCCUAUAAUGAAAACACAAUUGACUAGGUGGCUUAAACAAUUAUUUCCCAUAAUUCUAGAGACUGGAAAGUUUAAGGUCAAGACCUCAGCAGAUUCAGAGACUGGUGAGAACCUGCUUCCAGGUUAAUAGAAGGCUAUCUUCUCGCCAUGUCCCCACACAGUGGAAGGGAUGGGGUUGCCCUGGGUGGGUUGGGGGGGGUCCCUUUUAUAGGGGCACUAAUCCUGGUCAUGAGGGCAGAGACUUCACCUCCCCAGGGCCUCACAUCUUAAUGCCAUCACACUGGGCAUCUGAACAUCAAUAGGUGAAUUUUGGAGAGAUGUAUCCAGUCCAUGGUAUUCUGCAAUUCUGACAUUAAAAAAGUGAACAUUUUUUGGAAGAAAAAAAUUGUCAAAACAUAAUACAAGGGCACAGUAUUCCUCUCCAACUUUCCCGAUUGGUUGAGUCUAGCCAUGACCCUCAGCUUUCAGUAAGGCUCCAGGAUAUUCAGAUUAAAUAUUCAUCAGUCAGUGGUUUUGUUAAUGCAGUUUCCAUCACUUUAUUACAUUUUUCACAAACUAAUGAGCUCUUCUCACCAUGCAUAUAUUGGCACAGCCAGAUUGAAUACACAAGGAACCUGUAAAAUUCUGUAACCAAUAUUUUCUGUAACAGGAUCUGUGGCACGUUGCUUUCUAGCAGAAAGAAGCUUUCUCAGAGGGAAUCUAAAAUAGGCAGUGCAAAGACACCUGUGAUUUCUCUCAGCGUACUCCGAGCCACACGGGUGCCAAAGGGGAAAGAAGAUGACAGAAGAUUCACCAUCUUCCCAGGGCAUGGCUUUGAAAUGCAAAUUCGUUUCCACUUGACCACAGACCAAGAAGGCACGAUGGGCAUCGGCAAUGAAGGAGGCGUUCAGAGAUCCGGCGGCAAGAAAGGGGGAAAGUGGACUGAAAAUAAAAGUGUGCAGAGCUUCCCGUGGGACAAUGACCAUCUAACAUUCAUGUCCCUGGAGUCCCCAGCCUUUGGCCAGGGAGAGACAGGACACCAAGGGGAACUGGAGAGGAAAUUCCACUCCUUCCAGAAGCCUUUCCGAAAUGCAAUCGUUUAUAUCCUGCCUGAACACAUUCUGCAAGGCCAGUCUUUGCACUUUUGCUGUUCACGAAGCUGAGCCUGCUCUCAUCCGCCCCUUCGUGACCGCUCUCCCUCCGGCCUGCCUCGCUCCUGCUUCCCUCCCGGUGCCUUCCCGGAGCACGCAUCUCAUCAGCAUGCUAGCACAGGGGAAUUAAUUGUCCAACACAUCUGACUUCCCUGGGUGCAUGUCCCAAGGCCAGAAAAAACCUUCAAUUGGAUAUUUUCAGGAGUCAGUGAGAAGGAAAAGUGAGCCUUCAAGAGAUUCAACAACCUGCCGAAAGCGGAACCGGUGUUCAACCAGAGGUUCCCAUGUGACUAAAGCUAAGUACCAAAUGACUCCCAUGUGUGGUUGAACAAGCUGCUAGAAAGGUGAAGAACCUGUCUUCUCUUCAGGUUCUUAAAAAUGGUGCCUUCAGAGUGAAAUCUGCAUUUGGCACCGGCAAGGGAUUGGAACUUGGCAUUGUUACUUAAACUUCCUUGAUGAUGAGACUCACCUGGGCAGUUGUUGGAAAUACCUGGUCCUUCUCAGGUCUGCUGAAUCCCUGUCUCCUCGCAGAGGAACCCAGAGGAGUCUGAUGACCAGAGAAACAGAAAUGCUGGACGCUGGUCACAAUUCUGGCUUCCCAUUAGGACUACAUGGAGAGAGGCACCUGGCUGGCUUGGUGGGUAGAGCAUGCAACAACUCUUGAUCUCCAGGUGGUGAGUUCAGGCUCCAUGUUGGGAGUAGAGAUUACUUAAAAAUAAAAUCUUUUAAAAAAAUCAUAUUUAAAAAAAAAAAAAAGAAAGAAAAUCCUAUGAAGAGCUCUUUGUAAAUACUGAGCCUGGGCCCCACUCCUCAAUUAAAUUAUGAUCUGGGGUAAGAGUAGGGUAUAGGAGAGUGGAUUAUUAUGCUUAAAAAGUCCCCCUAGGUGAUUUCCAUGGGAAGUCAGCAUGAGGGUUCCUGGCUGGCUCAGUCAGAAUAGUAUGGAACUCUUGAUCUUGGGGUGGUAUGUUCAAGCCUCAUGUUGGGUGUAGAAAUUACUUAAAUAGAUAAAAGUUAAAAAAAAAAAAAGAGGAAGUCUUUGCAAUCACAGAUACAUGGUUAGAGAUGAAAAUAGAUACUUCCCUUUCCUGGAUUCAUAAAGCUCAUCAACGGACCUCUUUUACAGCAGUUUUUGCAUGCUACUUGAUUUGUAAAUAUUUGCAUAUCUGUUUUGACAAUGACAUUGCAUUGUAGCCUUGAAGGGCAGACACUUAUUAACUUUAUCACCCACAUACUUGGGACCGUGAUAUUGAAUAAACAUGUAUUUGCUCUGCGCAUGUAGAUAUUCAAAGGAUAUCCUUGGCAAUUCUGUUCAAGGACAAGAUAUAUAUAUAUAUCACAGACACUACAAAUUCACCUGAAGGGGACUCACUUCUCUUUUUGUUUUACGAAUCAACAAGAGUCAAUGCUGAGCAGUUUGUCCUCUGCCUGCUGUCCAGGGAGCUUUGGCCCUCCAGGUCAUUGUCUUGGCCAGUGCCAGGAAUGGCUUGUGGGUCUUUUCAAACAGCGUCCGCCUUGGCCUCCCCUGAGUCCAGGCUGGCCCUUAGUGGUUGCUCUGUCAGUGGAAUGUGGCAUCUGGGGCCUUCUAGUGCUAGGUCUUGAGAAUUCUUGCAGCUGGCUUCUGGAGCUCUGAGACCAUUCAUGGAGCCUGACCACUGUGAGACCACCAUGCUCAAGAGAACACAGGGAGAGUUCCUGAAAUAGCAAGAAGAGACAUCCAGCCAGCCCCCAAUGCAUCUCUAGACAAGAAGAAGGUUGAAAGAUUCAAAGCCCUCUUUAAUUUGCCAAAGCGCGUUUCAGAAAUGUCACUAUGACGCCUUAUCUAUAAUAUAAAGAAAAAUAAAACUUCUUUACAAUAAAAUAA